AUUGAACGCUGGCGGCAGGCCUAACACAUGCAAGUCGAGCGAGCGGCGGACGGGUGAGUAAUGUAUGGGGACUGCCCGAUAGCGGGGGAUAACUACUGGAAACGGUGGCUAAUACUGCAUACUGUCGGAAAACCCAUAUGGGAUUAGCUGGUAGGUAAGGUAAUGGCUUACAUGGGCGACGAGCCCUAGCUGGUCUGAGAGGAUGAUCAGCAAAACGGGGCAUGGAACACGGCCCGAACUCCUAGGGAGGGAGAAGGGGGAAAUAUUGGACAAGGGGCGAAAGCCGGAUGCGGCCAGGCGGCGUGGAUGAGAAGGGCUUUAGGGUGGUAAAGUACGUUCAGUCGGGAGGCGGUACCGGCAGAAGAAGCCCCGGCUAACUCCGUGCCAGCAGCCGCGGUAAUUC
rnacentral:rRNA from 1 species